AGAACGAACGCUGGCGGCAGGCUUAACACAUGCAAGUCGAACGGUUGUAGCAAUACAGCAGUGGCAGACGGGUGAGUAACACGUGGGAACCUUCCUAGGGGUACGGAACAACUCAGGGAAACUUGAGCUAAUACCGUAUACGCCCGUGAGGAGAAAGAUUUAUCGCCCCUAGACGGGCCCGCGUAGGAUUAGGUAGUUGGUGAGGUAACGGCUCACCAAGCCUACGAUCCUUAGCUGAUCUGAGAGGAUGAUCAGCCACACUGGGACUGAGACACGGCCCAGACUCCUACGGGAGGCAGCAGUGGGGAAUCUUGGACAAUGGGCGCAAGCCUGAUCCAGCCAUGCGCGUGAGUGAAGAAGGCCUUCGGGUUGUAAAGCUCUUUUACCAGGGACGAUAAUGACGGUACCUGGAGAAUAAGCCCGGCAAACUUCGUGCCAGCAGCCGC
rnacentral:rRNA from 1 species